rnacentral:misc_RNA from 1 species
UACGUAGGGGGCAAGCGUUGUCCGGAAUUAUUGGGCGUAAAGCGCGCGCAGGCGGCCUCUUAAGUCUGAUGUGAAAGCCCCCGGCUCAACCGGGGGACGCCAUUGGAAACUGGGAGGCUUGAGUAUAGGAGAGAAGAGUGGAAUUCCACGUGUAGCGGUGAAAUGCGUAGAGAUGUGGAGGAACACCAGUGGCGAAGGCGACUCUUUGGUCUAUAACUGACGCUGAGGCGCGAAAGCGUCGGUAGCAAACAUA